rnacentral:rRNA from 1 species
UGCGUAGGCGGCCUAUUAAGUCAGUGGUGAAAGGUAUCAGCUUAACUGAUGACGUGCCAUUGAAACUGAUAGGCUUGAGUACAGACGAGGUAGGCGGAAUUUAUGGUGUAGCGGUGAAAUGCAUAGAUACCAUAAAGAACACCAAUUGCGAAGGCAGCUUACUAGACUGAGACUGACGCUGAGGCACGAAAGCGUGGGGAGCGAACAGGAUUAGAUACCCUGGGUAGUCC